UGAGGAAUAUUGGUCAAUGGGCGAAAGCCUGAACCAGCCAUGCCGCGUGCAGGAUGACGGCCCUAUGGGUUGUAAACUGCUUUUAUACGGGAAGAAACACCCCUACGUG
rnacentral:rRNA from 1 species